CUGCUGCCUCCCGUAGGAGUCUGGGCCGUAUCUCAGUCCCAAUGUGGCCGUUCAACCUCUCAGUCCGGCUACUGAUCGUCGCCUUGGUAGGCCUUUACCCCACCAACUAGCUAAUCAGACGCAAGCCCAUCUAUCAGCGGAUUGCUCCUUUCCCUUUUGUAUCAUGCAAUACUCGAGGCAUAUGCGGUAUUAGCAGUCAUUUCUAACUGUUGUUCCCCUCUGAUAGGCAGGUUGCUUACG
rnacentral:rRNA from 1 species